rnacentral:rRNA from 1 species
AUGCAUGUGUAAGUACAAGCCGAUUUAAGGCGAAACCGCGAAUGGCUCAUUAAAUCAGCUAUGUUUCAUUGGAUCUGUAAACCCACUUACUUGGAUAACUGUGGCAAUUCUAGAGCUAAUACAUGCAAUUGGUCUCUGACCGCAAGGGAAGAGCGCUUUUAUUAGUUCAAAACUGGUCGGGCCCCGGUCCGUAACCCACCUGUGGUGAAUCUGAAUAACUUCGGGCUGAGCGCACGGUCUCCGCACCGGCGCCGCUUCUUUCAAGUGUCUGCCUUAUCAGCUUUCGAUUGUAGGUUAUGCGCCUACAAUGGCUAUAACGGGUAACGGGGAAUCAGGGUUCGAUUCCGGAGAGGGAGCCUGAGAAACGGCUACCACAUCUAAGGAAGGCAGCAGGCACGCAAAUUACCCACUCCCGGCACGGGGAGGUAGUGACGAAAAAUAACGAUGUGAGUCUCAUCCGAGGCCUCGCAAUCGGAAUGAGUACACUUUAAAUCCUUUAACGAGUAUCCAUUGGAGGGCAAGUCUGGUGCCAGCAGCCGCGGUAAUUCCAGCUCCAAUAGCGUAUAUUAAAGUUGUUGCGGUUAAAAAGCUCGUAGUUGGAUCUCAGUUCCGGACUGACGGUGCACCGCCCGGUGUUUACUGUCACGCUCCGAACAGCCGCCCCGCCGGCUCGCACGGGAUGCUC